AAUGAACGCUGGCGGAAUGCUUUACACAUGCAAGUCGAACGGCAGCACGGACUUCGGUCUGGUGGCGAGUGGCGAACGGGUGAGUAAUGUAUCGGAACGUGCCCAGUCGUGGGGGAUAACGUAGUGAAAAUUACGCUAAUACCGCAUACGAUCUAUGGAUGAAAGCGGGGGAUCGCAAGACCUCGCGCGAUUGGAGCGGCCGAUAUCAGAUUAGGUAGUUGGUGGGGUAAAGGCCCACCAAGCCAACGAUCUGUAGCUGGUCUGAGAGGACGACCAGCCACACUGGAACUGAGACACGGUCCAGACUCCUACGGGAGUCAGCAGUGGGGAAUUUUGGACAAUGGGCGAAAGCCUGAUCCAGCCAUUCCGCGUGCAGGAUGAAGGCCCUCGGGUUGUAAACUGCUUUUGUACAGAACGAAAAGGUUUCUACUAAUACUAGGAGUUCAUGACGGUACUGUAAGAAUAAGCACCGGCUAACUACGUGCCAGCCGCCGCCGUAA
rnacentral:rRNA from 1 species